rnacentral:rRNA from 1 species
UGUUUCGGCUAGGGGGCCAUCCCGGCUUACCAACCCGAUGCAAACUGCGAAUACCGGAGAAUGUUAUCACGGGAGACACACGGCGGGUGCUAACGUCCGUCGUGAAGAGGGAAACAACCCAGACCGCCAGCUAAGGUCCCAAAGUCAUGGUUAAGUGGGAAACGAUGUGGGAAGGCCCAGACAGCCAGGAUGUUGGCUUAGAAGCAGCCAUCAUUUAAAGAAAGCGUAAUAGCUCACUGGUCGAGUCGGCCUGCGCGGAAGAUGUAACGGGGCUAAACCAUGCACCGAAGCUGCGGCAGCGACGCUUAGGCGUUGUUGGGUAGGGGAGCGUUCUGUAAGCCUGUGAAGGUGUGCUGUGAGGCAUGCUGGAGGUAUCAGAAGUGCGAAUGCUGACAUAAGUAACGAUAAAGCGGGUGAAAAGCCCGCUCGCCGGAAGACCAAGGGUUCCUGUCCAACGUUAAUCGGGGCAGGGUGAGUCGACCCCUAAGGCGAGGCCGAAAGGCGUAGUCGAUGGGAAACGGGUUAAUAUUCCCGUACUUGGUGUUACUGCGAAGGGGGGACGGAGAAGGCUAUGUUGGCCGGGCGACGGUUGUCCCGGUUUAAGCGUGUAGGUGUGUGUUCCAGGUAAAUCCGGUUCACUUUAACACUGAGGCGUGACGACGAGGCACUACGGUGCUGAAGCAACAAAUGCCCUGCUUCCAGGAAAAGCCUCUAAGCAUCAGGUAACAUCAAAUCGUACCCCAAACCGACACAGGUGGUCAGGUAGAGAAUACCAAGGCGCUUGAGAGAACUCGGGUGAAGGAACUAGGCAAAAUGGUGCCGUAACUUCGGGAGAAGGCACGCUGACACGUAGGUGAAGUGAUUUACUCACGGAGCUGAAGUCAGUCGAAGAUACCAGCUGGCUGCAACUGUUUAUUAAAAACACAGCACUGUGCAAACACGAAAGUGGACGUAUACGGUGUGACGCCUGCCCGGUGCCGGAAGGUUAAUUGAUGGGGUCAGCGCAAGCGAAGCUCCUGAUCGAAGCCCCGGUAAACGGCGGCCGUAACUAUAACGGUCCUAAGGUAGCGAAAUUCCUUGUCGGGUAAGUUCCGACCUGCACGAAUGGCGUAAUGAUGGCCAGGCUGUCUCCACCCGAGACUCAGUGAAAUUGAACUCGCUGUGAAGAUGCAGUGUACCCGCGGCAAGACGGAAAGACCCCGUGAACCUUUACUAUAGCUUGACACUGAACAUUGAGCCUUGAUGUGUAGGAUAGGUGGGAGGCUUUGAAGUGUGGACGCCAGUCUGCAUGGAGCCGACCUUGAAAUACCACCCUUUAAUGUUUGAUGUUCUAACGUGGACCCGUAAUCCGGGUUGCGGACAGUGUCUGGUGGGUAGUUUGACUGGGGCGGUCUCCUCCUAAAGAGUAACGGAGGAGCACGAAGGUUGGCUAAUCCUGGUCGGACAUCAGGAGGUUAGUGCAAUGGCAUAAGCCAGCUUGACUGCGAGCGUGACGGCGCGAGCAGGUGCGAAAGCAGGUCAUAGUGAUCCGGUGGUUCUGAAUGGAAGGGCCAUCGCUCAACGGAUAAAAGGUACUCCGGGGAUAACAGGCUGAUACCGCCCAAGAGUUCAUAUCGACGGCGGUGUUUGGCACCUCGAUGUCGGCUCAUCACAUCCUGGGGCUGAAGUAGGUCCCAAGGGUAUGGCUGUUCGCCAUUUAAAGUGGUACGCGAGCUGGGUUUAGAACGUCGUGAGACAGUUCGGUCCCUAUCUGCCGUGGGCGCUGGAGAACUGAGGGGGGCUGCUCCUAGUACGAGAGGACCGGAGUGGACGCAUCACUGGUGUUCGGGUUGUCAUGCCAAUGGCACUGCCCGGUAGCUAAAUGCGGAAGAGAUAAGUGCUGAAAGCAUCUAAGCACGAAACUUGCCCCGAGAUGAGUUCUCCCUGAGACUUUAGGUCUCCUGAAGGAACGUUGAAGACGACGACGUUGAUAGGCCGGGUGUGUAAGCGCAGCGAUGCGUUGAGCUAACCGGUACUAAUGAACCGUGAGGCUUAACCUUACAACGCCG